UUGGGAGCCGUGGCACUGUCAAGUCAUCAGACGCGGUGAUUGCGAGGCCUGUGGGAAAGUACAAAAGCCUGGGCUAGAUUACCCCUCUCAUCGAGCCCGCCUGUGUGGCACCUGUUUCUUAUCACCCCACUAAGUUCCCGCCUCACAGGGUAGUCUGCCUAGCUAUUAAUCCUAUAUAUAGCCAGUGCCUCCACCCCCGAGAGAGAGAGAGACUGAAGCACAAAAGGAGCCACGGGGAGCGGACCGGUAGAGGCUUCGGGGCAGACUGAAGCACGGAAGGAGCCGCGGAGAGCGCACCGGUAGAGGCUUCAGGGCAGACUGUAUAAGGAGAGAAUAAAGAAAAGCCUGACCACCGCCAGACCUUGUCGUGUGUCUUUCCUGCCGGCCGGGAGCGGACAUCGACAUUUGGAGGCCCGCACGGGGAUUGAUCAACCCCGAGACGCGGCGGUGGACUGCAUUCUCCUACACAGUGCUGCAGCUGCAGGACAGGAAUCGGGACGAGAACCAAUGUGGGUCCCAGAGAGGUUGACGCGACAAGUCCCUCGACUGAAGAUCAGGCCUGUUCCACCAGAGGCCAACCGCAGACCCAACAACAAGAUGAGCCCUAAAAGAACUGCAGGACAAUCCCUUUUUGGGGGCCUGGAACGGCUUGCUCCCCUAUGUGCUACCCUUGUAUACGCAUGGCUCGCUCGCAUGGCCUACGACCGCGUUUAAAAGUGACAGGCUUCCCACAUUCUCCUCCCUAGACAACAACAUGUAGCAGGGUGGGUGAGUCAAUGACGGGUAAGAGCGUGCCUCCCCAGCACGACUCAACCUAAGCCAGGCCCUACCCCGUUCCGCUCGAAAGCCGCUGGAUUGUUAGAUAAAUUUCUCUCCGAGGGGAUUCGUGGAGAGAAAUGAGUGCAUGCCUAUGUGCAACCAGGUUCCGUCCGGUUCAUUCCUGGCCCUAGAAAAAAGGACGAGGGCCUGAGGGCCUUGGUGGACCCUGGGACGGCCGACCAGGGUCUACGCUAAGGGCCUACGGUGGGCCUCAGUUCGGGGCAUAGGCCUCUGCACUCUAUCCAGGACGGGCUGCGAUGCGCGUAGCCAUCAUUUAAAAUAAAAUAGGGGGAGAUGUUGGGAGCCGUGGCACUGUCAAGUCAUCAGACGCGGUGAUUGCGAGGCCUGUGGGAAAGUACAAAAGCCUGGGCUAGAUUACCCCUCUCAUCGAGCCCGCCUGUGUGGCACCUGUUUCUUAUCACCCCACUAAGUUCCCGCCUCACAGGGUAGUCUGCCUAGCUAUUAAUCCUAUAUAUAGCCAGUGCCUCCACCCCCGAGAGAGAGAGAGACUGAAGCACAAAAGGAGCCGCGGGGAGCGGACCGGUAGAGGCUUCGGGGCAGACUGAAGCACGGAAGGAGCCGCGGAGAGCGGACCGGUAGAGGCUUCAGGGCAGACUGUAUAAGGAGAGAAUAAAGAAAAGCCUGACCACCGCCA